rnacentral:rRNA from 1 species
UACAGAGGGGGCAAGCGUUGUUCGGAAUUACUGGGCGUAAAGGGCGCGUAGGCGGCCUGUUAAGUCGAACGUGAAAUCCCUGGGCUCAACCCAGGAACUGCGUCCGAUACUGGCAGGCUUGAAUUCGGGAGAGGGAAGUGGAAUUUCCGGUGUAGCGGUGAAAUGCGUAGAUAUCGGAAGGAACAUCAAUGGCGAAAGCGACUUCCUGGACCAGUACCGACGUCAGGCACGAAAGCGUGGGGAGCAAACAGG